rnacentral:rRNA from 1 species
UACAGAGGUCCCAAGCGUUGUUCGGAUUCACUGGGCGUAAAGGGUGCGUAGGUGGCCAGGUAAGUUUGGUGUGAAAGCUCGGAGCUUAACUCCGAAAAGUCAUUGAAUACUAUCUGGCUGGAGGGUCGGAGGGGAGACUGGAAUUCUCGGUGUAGCAGUGAAAUGCGUAGAUAUCGAGAGGAACACCAGUGGCGAAGGCGAGUCUCUGGACGACUCCUGACACUGAGGAGCGAAAGCGUGGGGAGCGAACAGG